rnacentral:rRNA from 1 species
UUGGUGCCUUCGGGAACUCUGAGACAGGUGCUGCAUGGCUGUCGUCAGCUCGUGUUGUGAAAUGUUGGGUUAAGUCCCGCAACGAGCGCAACCCUUAUCCUUUGUUGCCAGCGAUUCGGUCGGGAACUCAAAGGAGACUGCCAGUGAUAAACUGGAGGAAGGUGGGGAUGACGUCAAGUCAUCAUGGCCCUUACGAGUAGGGCUACACACGUGCUACAAUGGCGCAUACAAAGAGAAGCGACCUCGCGAGAGCAAGCGGACCUCAUAAAGUGCGUCGUAGUCCGGAUUGGAGUCUGCAACUCGACUCCAUGAAGUCGGAAUCGCUAGUAAUCGUAGAUCAGAAUGCUACGGUGAAUACGUUCCCGGGCCUUGUACACACCGCCCGUCACACCAUGGGAGUGGGUUGCAAAAGAAGUAGGUAGCUUAACCUUCGGGAGGGCGCUUACCACUUUGUGAUUCAUGACUGGGGUGAAGUCGUAACAAGGUAACCGUAGGGGAACCUGCGGUUGGAUCACCUCCUUACCUUAAAGAA